GUCGGGAUAGCCAAGAGGUCUAAGGCGGUAGGUUGCUAACCUACUUCCCCUUAUGGGGAGCGAGGGUUCGAAUCCCUCUCCCGGCGC
rnacentral:tRNA from 1 species